UAGACCUUUGUGAAAGUAUGUAAUUAUGAACAAGGGAUGGAGCUUGGUGCAUCUUCCUGUUUAGCAGUUAAGCCUUUUUCAGCAUGCUAGUGGCCGUGGUGUUGCGUGGUGAGCUACCAUGCAUUUUGCUACAUGGUAAAUCUCUCUCGCAGGUCUAACUGCACAUCCAGGGGUUUCCAGUAACUUGGUUGGAGACGAAUGUACAUCAGUGAUGUGACUGCACUGCUGCUUUGUUUGUAGUGUUUGUUGGUUGAUUGUUUUAACUUUGUCUGUGUUGGUCUUAUUUUGGUUAACUUGGUUUGUAUGGGUGCUCUUUUAUUCAUUCAUGAGCAGCCAUUCAUUAACUUGUGUGAGUUAGCAGGGAGACAAGCAAGAUAUUUGGCCUUGGUCGGCCAUUUUGUUCCUCCUGUUGGUGCAGACACCUGCGCCUUUUAUUUGUUUUUUGUUUUCUUUGUACAAGUAGUUGUUGAAUCUGUGUUUGUGCACUCCUUUUUGGAGUAGAUUGUUCUGUUGUGGUAUGAAAGUGAGUUUUGUAUUUUUGAAUGUGUCUUGACGUUUGUACCAGUUAACCAUGUUGUCAUUUAGGAGUAGAAACUUUUUAAAGUGGGGGUUGCAGUCUUUUAGCGUGGCCACAUGGAGUGCGGUGCUUAACCAAUUGUAUUGCUUUCACAAUGGUAUGGUGUGAGGUGAAAAUUCAAAAGGCCCCCGCUGGCCAUUUCUCUCCUACUGGUCAUUUCUGUAACUGGUAGAUUUGUGUAUCUGAUUGAUUAAGAUUGUGCCCAAAACCAGUGUGUCAAAUUAAUGUUUCAUUUGUGUAUAAAUGGCUUAAUUUUUACACUUUGUCUAGGUCUCCAUGCUCACCCUGCCUUUGGCAACGAACCUGUGUAGUCUAUUUGUAUCUGUUGUUGGUAACUUCCCCUACCUGACCACUUAUUGCCACAUAUGGCAUCGCUGUGAAGAACCUUUAUUUUUAAGAGUGUAACCACCAUCAUGUCACUAGAAAACUAUAUAAUUUUUUUUCCU